CAGCAAACGCUCAGGAAAGAUAAGCACAUGAAGGAGGAAAGGGAAAACAGAGAGACAGAGUGGUGGCUACGGCUCUUGGCUGAGGGGCAGACGGAGGAUGUCAGUGCUGAAAAGUUCCAGAUGCCGUGUUUUUCUGAGUCCAGAGGGAGUUCUGGUGUUUAAAUGAUUUGAAAACAGCCGGGCUUUAGUUCAGGAGUGAGAAUGGACAGAGAGAGAAAUACAGCGAGGCAGAGAAAAAUCAUUGCUCAUGGCAGUUGUACAAUAUAUGGCCACAAGAGCAAACAGACAGGAAACAAAGUAAGACAUCGAAUGCAAGUACAGCCGAAGGAUUUUAUUGACUGCUGUUUUAAUUGGUUGCUGGCAGCCAGAGAAGGAAAGAUGGAAAGAAAUACUACAAAAUCAGCAACAUACAUUUUGCAGAAAUAAUGUGGAUAAAACAACCGAAACCAUCCGGCUUUAUUGAUGAACGUCACAAAUCUAAAUCGGUCCUUCCGGGAUUACCUGCACACGUGGACAGUUCAGAUCCAGGAGGGUCACAGCAUCACACGACUUAACGGUUUACCUCCACUGCUGUCUAACACCCCAUUAGCUGAUGAGUUGAAUCAGGUGUGUAGUGGCUGGGAAAUGACUGAACUGUACCGUGGACUGAAAUCCCAAUCAUUCUUCCAUCUCAUAGCUGAGGAACAAAUGGAUAAGUGGAUGAAGAACGCAUGUGAUGAAUGAGAUGAAAGCUCACUCUGUCUCC
ensembl:lncRNA